rnacentral:rRNA from 1 species
UACGUAGGGGGCAAGCGUUGUCCGGAUUUAUUGGGCGUAAAGAGCGUGUAGGCGGCUUGACAGGUCUGCUGUGAAAACUCGAGGCUCAACCUCGAGAUGUCGGCGGAAACCGUCUGGCUAGAGUCCGGAAGAGGAGAGUGGAAUUCCUGGUGUAGCGGUGAAAUGCGCAGAUAUCAGGAAGAACACCAAUGGCGAAGGCAGCUCGCUGGGACGUGACUGACGCUGAGACGCGAAAGCGUGGGGAGCAAACAGG